AACGAACGCUGGCGGCAUGCCUAACACAUGCAAGUCGAACGAGACCUUCGGGUCUAGUGGCGCACGGGUGCGUAACGCGUGGGAACCUGCCCUUAGGUUCGGAAUAACUCCCCGAAAGGGGUGCUAAUACCGGAUAAUGUCUUCGGACCAAAGAUUUAUCGCCUUUGGAUGGGCCCGCGUUGGAUUAGCUAGUUGGUAGGGUAAAAGCCUACCAAGGCGACGAUCCAUAGCUGGUCUGAGAGGCUGAUCAGCCACACUGGGACUGAGACACGGCCCAGACUCCUACGGGAGGCAGCAGUGGGGGAUAUUGGACAAUGGGCGAAAGCCUGAUCCAGCAAUGCCGCGUGAGUGAUGAAGGCCUUAGGGUUGUAAAGCUCUUUUACCCGGGAUGAUAAUGACAGUACCGGGAGAAUAAGCUCCGGCUAACUCCGUG
rnacentral:rRNA from 1 species